rnacentral:rRNA from 1 species
UACGAAGGGGGGCUAGCGUUGCUCGGAAUUACUGGGCGUAAAGCGCACGUAGGCGGAUCUUUAAGUCAGGGGUGAAAUCCUGGAGCUCAACUCCAGAACUGCCUUUGAUACUGAGGACCUUGAGUUCGGGAGAGGUGAGUGGAACUGCGAGUGUAGAGGUGAAAUUCGUAGAUAUUCGCAAGAACACCAGUGGCGAAGGCGGCUCACUGGCCCGAUACUGACGCUGAGGCACGAAAGCGUGGGGAGCAAACAGG